CCGCGGGCCGGUGUUACGAGAUUUUCGGUUUCCGAAGGCGGAGCACGUGCAACUGAGAAUUUUAGUUCACAUUGUAAAUCAGCACAUUACUGGAUUAUUUCAUAAAGUUUCCAGGUGUAGAAAGUGAACAGUGCGAGUGACACUAUUGUAAAGAUGGAGUUUAUUAAAGAGGAGAGUGAAGACGAGUGAUGCAGAAACAUGCAGAAUGAAUGAUGAAGAAACUGAGGAACAGAGAGACAUGACGGAAGUGAAAGUGGAGUGUGAAGAACUGAAUGUAGUGGAGGAGGAUCAUCAGUAUCAGAGACCUCAGAAGGUCAUAACGGGAGAAAAGUCGACACAGUACGAAAGUGAUUUCUCCCAGAAAAGAACAGGAACCAAAAAACCACCAUUCAUCUGUCCUCAGUGUGGGAAGUGUUUUAUACUCAAAGUUAACCUUAAAAUCCAAAUCAAAAUUCACACCGGAGAGCGUGAUUUCACCUGUCUGCAAUGUGGCAGUAGCUUCUUCAAAAACGCUGAUCUGAAGAGACACCUGCAAACACACACCGGAGAGAAGCCGUUCAGCUGCCCUCACUGCGGGAAGAGCUUCACACACAAAGAGAGCCUGGAGAAUCACAUCCGGAUCCACACCGGAGAGAAGCCUUUCACCUGCCUACUGUGUGCCAAGAGCUUCAUACGCAAAGGACACUUUAAGAACCACAUGCGCAUUCACUCCGGAGAGCGUCCGUUCACGUGUCACGAGUGUGGGAAGAGCUUCACGCAGGCCACCGUCCUCAAAAACCACCAGCACUCGCACUCGGGAGAGAGACCGUUCAGCUGCGGCCAAAUAUCUGAAAGAGCAUCAGAAGGUCCAUACAGGAGAGAAACCCUACAAGUGCUCACAUUGUGACAAGAGCUUCAGUCAGUCAGGGAACCUGAAAAUACACGAGAGUGUUCACACCGGAGAGAAGCCGCACCGCUGCCCGCAACAAACUGAUGCACUGUGUAUUCUGACACCUUUCUACCAGAACCAGCAUUAACUUCUUGAGCAGUUUGAGCUACAGUAGCUCGUCUGUUGAAUCGGACCACACGGGUCAGCCUUCUCUCCCCACGUGCAUCAGUAAGCCUUGUCCGCCCAUGACCCUGUUGCUGGUUCACCACUGUUCCUUCCUUGGAGCACUUUUGAUAGAUACUGACCACUGCAGACCGGGAACACCCCACAAGAGCUGCAGUUUUGGAGAUGCUCUGACCCAGUCUAGCCAUCACAAUUUGGCCCUUGUCAAACUCACUCAAAUCUUGCAGUGUCUUGUAAAUUACCUGGCUCUCAUCUCUCCAGUAUCCGAAAUAUUCCCAAACUACAGAUGUUGAUUUUUUGGGGGUCAAGUUCUUAUCCUGGCCUGAAUUCACCUUCCCUGUUUGCUUUCUUUCAUGUCGUAACGAUAAACCCGGUCUGUUCUGUUCUCAUGCUGGAUUUAGGCGCGCUGCAUUCAGAUUGCACACUGCGGGGGCUGGUGGAAAAAAAAUCAUGCUUUCAUUGUGGUUUUAUUACGAUUUCAAUUAAUGUGCAGACCUAAUACUGGCUGCGUUUAACUUCCCCUCGGGGGAAUCCCUGCUGCAUUCUGAAGUGCAUUCAACUUCAUCAAGUGGACAAGGGCAGUUUAUUUGGACAGACCCUCGACCCCUCGAUUUUGACCGAGGCCACAACGUAACGUGAUUGUGAUGUCACAACAGCAUCUCACAGUGCUUACACAUGCGAAAGGGAACUAAAGAGAAAGAGUACUAAAAAAUUGUUCUUAAGUAUUGCUACUUAAAAUAAUUUGCUCAAGUACAUGUAGAAGUACUAAAACAUAAUAUGACUCAAGUAAGAGUAAAUAAGUAGAUGACAGUUAGAAGAGAGUUAUAAGUAGAUAGAAAAACUAAAUAAAAAAAAAAUAAAAAAACCUAAAAACUAUUCAAGUUACUAUGUUGCAAAGUAUUUUAGUAUUAUUAUUUAUUUAUUUUAUUUUUACCCAAACUGAGGUGAUGUUAGCAAUAUGGAGAGCUAAACACUCAAAUGUAAUUUCAUUUAUACCGGAAGCCGGAUCAGCUGAGCUCACAAUGCUUUCGCUGCCCAGCAUGAUUUCUUCUCCAACAAUCCUAAAGAUUGCUCAUAUGAUUUUAUGUUUAACAUCUACAACUUCACCUUUAUUUAAGGAGAAUCUCUCUGCAUCUGCUCAUGUAGCUUCAAUAAUACAACAGACAAGUGAACUUUUCAAACAAAAACAAUUGAUCUUAACUUUAUAUGUAUGAUUUUAUUUGCAUGUGAAUGUAAAUGUGGUGAAAUUAUAAUUGCUAAACAAAAUGCAUUGGACGAUCUAGACCAGAGCAAGUGAAAGACACACAAAUGCUGUUAACUGGUAAAAUGUUUAGUUGGUCUGACUAGAAGAGACUCCAUCCACAGAACAAAGACAAUAUACUGUAUAUCUGUGCAUUAACAACAGACACAUAGAUAACUUAAUAUAAAAUAAAACAGAAUAACAAAAAUAAGCAAAUAUAUUCUGUGCAUAAAAUGUAAGAGAGAUAAUGUAAAUGUUUGAAAUAACAUGUACUUCAUAUUUUUGACACAUUUAUGUGCUAUACUUGACAAUCACGUUUAUGAUUAUAAACAUUUUAAUCAUUAUGGAUGAGUUCAAUCCAAACAUUAUUAUAUUUGUAGGCCUGAUACUGAAGAGCCUGAAGAUUUCUGCUGACAGACUCAUCUGAGCUUCUUCCUCCUGUUCACCUUUAAAUAAAACAAAACCAUCAUUUGUCUGAAUACUAAAGCAACAUUAAUCAUUCAAUAUCACGUUUCUAACACACAUGCUGCUUUAUUUCAUUGUAAAGUCUGAGUCUCUUCCAUCUGUAUGAAACACAUUUACACAUUAAUCACACAUUUAUUUCUCCUCAUAGACACAGUAGUGAGACUCUUCUGUGGAUCACCUGAUGAUUACUGCUCCUCUCA